UACGUAGGGUGCAAGCGUUAAUCGGAAUUACUGGGCGUAAAGCGUGCGCAGGCGGUUUUGUAAGUCUGUCGUGAAAUCCCCGGGCUCAACCUGGGGAAUGGCAAUGGAUACUGGCAAGCUAGAGUGCGGUAGAGGGUAGUGGAAUUCCCCGGUGUAGCGGUGAAAUGCGUAGAGAUCGGGAGGAACACCAGUGGCGAAGGCGGCUACCUGGACCAGCACUGACACUGAGGCACGAAAGCGUGGGGAGCAAACAG
rnacentral:rRNA from 1 species